rnacentral:rRNA from 1 species
GAAUUCGAUUAGAGUUUGAUCAUGGCUCAGAUUGAACGCUGGCGGCAUGCCUUACACAUGCAAGUCGAACGGCAGCAUGAUCUACCUUGCUAGAUUGAUGGCGAGUGGCGAACGGGUGAGUAAUACAUCGGAACGUGCCCUGUAGUGGGGGAUAACUAGUCGAAAGAUUAGCUAAUACCGCAUACGACCUGAGGGUGAAAGUGGGGGACCGCAAGGCCUCAUGCUAUAGGAGCGGCCGAUGUCUGAUUAGCUAGUUGGUGAGGUAAAGGCUCACCAAGGCGACGAUCAGUAGCUGGUCUGAGAGGACGAUCAGCCACACUGGGACUGAGACACGGCCCAGACUCCUACGGGAGGCAGCAGUGGGGAAUUUUGGACAAUGGGGGCAACCCUGAUCCAGCAAUGCCGCGUGUGUGAAGAAGGCCUUCGGGUUGUAAAGCACUUUUGUCCGGAAAGAAAUCGCACUUACUAAUAUUAGGUGUGGAUGACGGUACCGGAAGAAUAAGGACCGGCUAACUACGUGCCAGCAGCCGCGGUAAUACGUAGGGUCCAAGCGUUAAUCGGAAUUACUGGGCGUAAAGCGUGCGCAGGCGGUUGUGCAAGACCGAUGUGAAAUCCCCGGGCUUAACCUGGGAAUUGCAUUGGUGACUGCACGGCUAGAGUGUGUCAGAGGGGGGUAGAAUUCCACGUGUAGCAGUGAAAUGCGUAGAGAUGUGGAGGAAUACCGAUGGCGAAGGCAGCCCCCUGGGAUAACACUGACGCUCAUGCACGAAAGCGUGGGGAGCAAACAGGAUUAGAUACCCUGGUAGUCCACGCCCUAAACGAUGUCAACUAGUUGUUGGGGAUUCAUUUCCUUAGUAACGUAGCUAACGCGUGAAGUUGACCGCCUGGGGAGUACGGUCGCAAGAUUAAAACUCAAAGGAAUUGACGGGGACCCGCACAAGCGGUGGAUGAUGUGGAUUAAUUCGAUGCAACGCGAAAAACCUUACCUACCCUUGACAUGCCACUAACGAAGCAGAGAUGCAUUAGGUGCUCGAAAGAGAAAGUGGACACAGGUGCUGCAUGGCUGUCGUCAGCUCGUGUCGUGAGAUGUUGGGUUAAGUCCCGCAACGAGCGCAACCCUUGUCUCUAGUUGCUACGAAAGGGCACUCUAGAGAGACUGCCGGUGACAAACCGGAGGAAGGUGGGGAUGACGUCAAGUCCUCAUGGCCCUUAUGGGUAGGGCUUCACACGUCAUACAAUGGUGCAUACGGAGGGUUGCCAAGCCGCGAGGUGGAGCUAAUCCCAGAAAAUGCAUCGUAGUCCGGAUCGUAGUCUGCAACUCGACUACGUGAAGCUGGAAUCGCUAGUAAUCGCGGAUCAGCAUGCCGCGGUGAAUACGUUCCGCGGGUCUUGUAG